rnacentral:rRNA from 1 species
UAGGGAAUCUUCGGCAAUGGACGGAAGUCUGACCGAGCAACGCCGCGUGAGUGAAGAAGGUUUUCGGAUCGUAAAGCUCUGUUGUUAGAGAAGAACGUUGGUAGGAGUGGAAAAUCUACCAAGUGACGGUAACUAACCAGAAAGGGACGGCUAACUACGUGCCAGCAGCCGCGGUAAUACGUAGGUCCCGAGCGUUGUCCGGAUUUAUUGGGCGUAAAGCGAGCGCAGGCGGUUCUUUAAGUCUGAAGUUAAAGGCAGUGGCUUAACCAUUGUACGCUUUGGAAACUGGAGGACUUGAGUGCAUAAGGGGAGGGUGGAAUUCCAUGUGUAGCGGUGAAAUGCGUAGAUAUAUGGAGGAACACCGGUGGCGAAGGCGGCUCUCUGGUCUGUAACUGACGCUGAGGCUCGAAAGCGUGGGGAGCAAACAGG